GUGGAACAUGUGAAGGUUGUAACCCUGCGAGGCAAUUUUUGGCACGGCGUGUUUUAAGUCUGUGACGUGGCGUGUAGCUGCUCUUGCGACGCAUGCAAUGUAAAACAGCGCCGUUUCCUUCUGGGACGAGACUCUGCUCAGUGACCUGAACCCGCAGAACCUCUGGGGCAACACCCCCGAACCACAAACGAGAAGCGGGAGCAAAGGCAGGCCGGCGUGGUCUGAAGCAGCCUGGCCUGGCUGCGGCAGGCAGGGGAACCCCGUGGUGGUCAGCGACCCCCCAGAAGUUAACCAAGCUGAAGUCCAGCCCUAGAGCACGCUGGAGACAGAUCAGAGCAUCCUGAUUCAGGAGAGCAGAAACCAUCACUGCUGAGCGAUGGAGGGACUCGUCGUAUGCUCCCUGAAAGCUGAGAGCAGCAGCAAGGUGCGUGGUCAACUGCGAGCUGCUCCAAUGAACAUGGUUCCUAGCCGGGGCCGUGUAGCAGAGAGGGCUGUCCUUGUGCUCGCAGCGCAGACGACUUCGAAGGGAAAUGCAAAGCUGACUGCAAUGGGGCAUUUUCCCUGGUGUAUUUUAUACUUGCGUACCAGGAUCGAGGAUAAAGGGGCAAACAUCAAGAAAGCUUGAGGUAUUUCACAAGCCAGCACUUGCCAGUGGCCUGAUAUCCCAGGGGAGGGACUGCACUAUGCAGGGCUCGAGCUGGGACAUACAGUGACUACGGACACAUUUGGGAGAGGGAGACUAGGGAAAAUGUCUUUGGGAGUCUGUUGGUAAAUCUUGUUGCCAACCUCCCCAGGCGUUUGGAGAACAGAAGCCAUCUCAAACUGAAUUUGUUUUGCCCGAAAACCUGGUUGCUGUUACAGCCGCCAAGUACCAAAAUCACAGACAACGUUGCUGUGCUGCGGGAAAGGCAAGUGCCGUGCUGGGAGGUAAAACAGCCUUAAGGCCUGUGGGAUGCACGAAGGAUCCUUGUGCUUCCAGAGCAGCAGAAAGGUCUCAUCUCGCGUGCUCUGUCUGGAUUUGGGCAAUGGGCCUCAGGAAGGAGCCAGAGGAGAGCUUGGAGAUGUGCCUCCGGGGAAAGCUCGGCAGGCCGAGGCUGCCGGGAUCACUCACGUCGAGGUUGUGUGUGCAGAGAAGCCAAUCCUUGGCCCUCGCUCUCCAGACUUAAAGGCUCGUGUUGUGGUUUCAGCCGGCCACCAUCACAGUUACCUCCUGAAACAGUGAACUUCCCGCAGCAGGUGUUUGCGGUUCAGUAGUUCAGAUCAUCCAGGAGAAAAUCUGCAGCCCAAACUUUUCUGUUUCUGCUUGGAAAUGCGGUUUGAGGAGAGGGAGCCUUCUCCCACUCCCACAGCACUCAUCUAGCUUGAACUCAGCGGAGGCAACAAAUCUCC